rnacentral:rRNA from 1 species
UACGGGGGGGGGUAAGCGUUGUUCGGAAUUACUGGGCGUAAAGGGCUCGUAGGCGGCCAACUAAGUCAGACGUGAAAUCCCUCAGCUUAACUGGGGAACUGCGUCUGAUACUGGAUGGCUUGGAUCCGGAAGAGGGAUGCGGAAUUCCAGGUGUAGCGGUGAAAUGCGUAGAUAUUGGGAAGAACACCUGAGGCGAAGGCGGGUUGCUGGGCUGAUACUGACGCUGAGGCGCGAAAGCCAGGGGAGCAAACGGG